AGUGAACGCUGGCGGUAGGCCUAACACAUGCAAGUCGAACGGCAGCACAGUAAGAGCUUCCUCUUACGGGUGGCGAGUGGCGGACGGGUGAGGAAUGCAUCGGAAUCUACUUUUUCGUGGGGGAUAACGUAGGGAAACUUACGCUAAUACCGCAUACGACCUACGGGUGAAAGCAGGGGAUCUUCGGACCUUGCGCGAUUGAAUGAGCCGAUGUCGGAUUAGCUAGUUGGCGGGGUAAAGGCCCACCAAGGCGACGAUCCGUAGCUGGUCUGAGAGGAUGAUCAGCCACACUGGAACUGAGACACGGUCCAGACUCCUACGGGAGGCAGCAGUGGGGAAUAUUGGACAAUGGGCGCAAGCCUGAUCCAGCCAUACCGCGUGGGUGAAGAAGGCCUUCGGGUUGUAAAGCCCUUUUGUUGGGAAAGAAAAGCAGCAGGUUAAUACCCCGCUGUUCUGACGGUACCCAAAGAAUAAGCACCGGCUAACUUCGUG
rnacentral:rRNA from 1 species